CGCGGUAAUACGUAGGUGGCGAGGCGUUGUCGGAAUACUGGGUGUAAAGGGCGGGUAGGCGGGAAUGUAAGUCAGAUGUGAAAUCCCCAGGGCUUAACCCUGGAGCUGCAUCUGAAACUAUGUUUCUUGAGUGUCGGAGAGGAAAGCGGAAUUCCUAGUGUAGCGGUGAAAUGCGUAGAUAUUAGGAGGAACACCAGUGGCGAAGGCGGCUUUCUGGACGAUAACUGACGCUGAGGCGCGAAAGCGUGGGGAGCAAACAGGAUUAGAUACCUGGUAGUCCACGCUGUAAACGAUGGAUACUAGGUGUAGGAGGUAUCGACCCCUUUCUGUGCCGGAGUUAACACAAUAAGUAUCCCACCUGGGGAGUACGGCCGCAAGGUUGAAACUCAAAGGAAUUGACGGGGGCCCGCACAAGCAGUGGAGUAUGUGGUUUAAUUCGAAGCAACGCGAAGAACCUUACCAAGGCUUGACAUACAGUGGAAUAGUGCAGAGAUGUACUAGCUUUUCGGAGCUGCUGUACAGGUGGUGCAUGGUUGUCGUCAGCUCGUGUCGUGAGAUGUUGGGUUAAGUCCCGCAACGAGCGCAACCCUUGUCGUUAGUUGAUAACAUUAAGAUGAUCACUCUAACGAGACUGCCGGUGAUAAAUCGGAGGAAGGUGGGGACGACGUCAAAUCAUCAUGCCCCUUAUGUCUUGGGCUACACACGUACUACAAUGGCUAUUACAGUGAGAAGCUAAGCCGCAAGGUGGAGCAAAUCUAUAAAAAUAGUCCCAGUUCAGAUUGUGGGCUGCAACCCGCCCACAUGAAGUCGGAAUUGCUAGUAAUGGCAGGUCAGCAUACUGCCGUGAAUACGUUCCCGGGCCUUGUACACACCGCCCGUCACACCAUGAGAGUCUGCAACACCCGAAGU
rnacentral:rRNA from 1 species